rnacentral:rRNA from 1 species
ACGAACGCUGGCGGCGUGCUUAACACAUGCAAGUCGAACGGAAAGGCCCUGCUUUUGUGGGGUGCUCGAGUGGCGAACGGGUGAGUAACACGUGAGUAACCUGCCCUUGACUUUGGGAUAACUUCAGGAAACUGGGGCUAAUACCGGAUAGGAGCUCCUGCUGCAUGGUGGGGGUUGGAAAGUUUCGGCGGUUGGGGAUGGACUCGCGGCUUAUCAGCUUGUUGGUGGGGUAGUGGCUUACCAAGGCUUUGACGGGUAGCCGGCCUGAGAGGGUGACCGGCCACAUUGGGACUGAGAUACGGCACAGACUCCUACGGGAGGCAGCAGUGGGGAAUAUUGCACAAUGGGCGGAAGCCUGAUGCAGCAACGCCGCGUGCGGGAUGACGGCCUUCGGGUUGUAAACCGCUUUCGCCUGUGACGAAGCGUGAGUGACGGUAAUGGGUAAAGAAGCACCGGCUAACUACGUG